rnacentral:tRNA from 1 species
GCCCAGGUGGCGGAAUUGGUAGACGCACUAGUUUCAGGUACUAGCGAGUAAUGUCGUGGGGGUUCGAGUCCCUUCCUGGGCACCA